rnacentral:rRNA from 1 species
GACGAACGCUGGCGGCGUGCUUAACACAUGCCAGUCGAACGGAAAGGCCCUGCUUUUGUGGGGUGCUCGAGUGGCGAACGGGUGAGUAACACGUGAGUAACCUGCCCUUGACUUUGGGAUAACUUCAGGAAACUGGGGCUAAUACCGGAUAGGAGCUCCUGCUGCAUGGUGGGGGUUGGAAAGUUUCGACGGUUGGGGAUGGACUCGCGGCUUAUCAGCUUGUUGGUGGGGUAGUGGCUUACCAAGGCUUUGACGGGUAGCCGGCCUGAGAGGGUGACCGGCCACAUUGGGACUGAGAUACGGCCCAGACUCCUACGGGAGGCAGCAGUGGGGAAUAUUGCACAAUGGGCGGAAGCCUGAUGCAGCAACGCCGCGUGCGGGAUGACGGCCUUCGGGUUGUAAACCGCUUUCGCCUGUGACGAAGCGUGAGUGACGGUAAUGGGUAAAGAAGCACCGGCUAACUACGUG